GACGGGGGCCCGCACAAGCGGUGGAGCAUGUGGUUUAAUUCGAUGCAACGCGAAGAACCUUACCUGGUCUUGACAUCCACGGAAGUUUUCAGAGAUGAGAAUGUGCCUUCGGGAACCGUGAGACAGGUGCUGCAUGGCUGUCGUCAGCUCGUGUUGUGAAAUGUUGGGUUAAGUCCCGCAACGAGCGCAACCCUUAUCCUUUGUUGCCAGCGGUCCGGCCGGGAACUCAAAGGAGACUGCCAGUGAUAAACUGGAGGAAGGUGGGGAUGACGUCAAGUCAUCAUGGCCCUUACGACCAGGGCUACACACGUGCUACAAUGGCGCAUACAAAGAGAAGCGACCUCGCGAGAGCAAGCGGACCUCAUAAAGUGCGUCGUAGUCCGGAUUGGAGUCUGCAACUCGACUCCAUGAAGUCGGAAUCGCUAGUAAUCGUGGAUCAGAAUGCCACGGUGAAUACGUUCCCGGGCCUUGUACACACCGCCCGUCACACCAUGGGAGUGGGUUGCAAAAGAAGUAGGUAGCUUAACCUUCGGGAGGGCGCUUACCACUUUGUGAUUCAU
rnacentral:rRNA from 1 species